GGAAAAAUUUUGGAUGGGUCCACAAGAGCACAAAGUGCAUACUUUUUGAAGAAAAACAUCUUUCAGAUGUAUGAGAAAUUGAUUGGAGCCUGUCUGGAAAACGGCAGCCACUGGACCUUGUUUUUUUGUGACAUACCCAAGAGGACCAUAGUCUAUAUGAAUUCAUUUGGAGAGUCGGAGGUCAGAAAAAGUGCGGUGUUGAAAAACUGGAGCUCAUUUGCUUCAGCAAGAGGCUGCACUGGAGAGUGGACCUUGUCACAUGUGAGCCACCCACAUCAAGAGGAUGGGAACUCA